GACGAACGCUGGCGGCGUGCCUAAUACAUGCAAGUCGAGCGAAUGGAUUAAGAGCUUGCUCUUAUGAAGUUAGCGGCGGACGGGUGAGUAACACGUGGGUAACCUGCCCAUAAGACUGGGAUAACUCCGGGAAACCGGGGCUAAUACCGGAUAACAUUUUGAACCGCAUGGUUCGAAAUUGAAAGGCGGCUUCGGCUGUCACUUAUGGAUGGACCCGCGUCGCAUUAGCUAGUUGGUGAGGUAACGGCUCACCAAGGCAACGAUGCGUAGCCGACCUGGGAGGGUGAUCGGCCACGCUGGGACUGAGACACGGCCCAGACUCCUACGGGAGGCAGCAGUAGGGAAUCUUCCGCAAUGGACGAAAGUCUGACGGAGCAACGCCGCGUGAGUGAUGAAGGCUUUCGGGUCGUAAAACUCUGUUGUUAGGGAAGAACAAGUGCUAGUUGGAUAAGCUGGCACCUUGACGGUACCUAACCAGAAAGCCACGGCUAACUACGUGCCAGCCGCCGCAGUAA
rnacentral:rRNA from 1 species